CCCUUAGAUGUUCUGGGCCGCACGCGCGCUACACUGAUGCAUUCAACGAGUCUAAAACCUGCUCUGAUAGGGGUGGGUAAUCUUUUGAAUGUGCAUCGUGAUUGGGAUAGAUGAUUGCAAUUUUUCAUCUUCAACGAGGAAUGCCUAGUAAACGCAAGUCAUCAGCUUGCAUUGAUUACGUCCCUGCCCUUUGUACACACCGCCCGUCGCUCCUACCGAUUGAAUGAUCCGAUGAAUAUCAUGGAUUGAGGAUUAGCAGGUUCGCCUGUCUUGAUCUUCGAGAAGUGAAGUAAAUCUUAUCAUUUAGAGGAAGGAGAAGUCGUAACA
rnacentral:rRNA from 1 species